rnacentral:rRNA from 1 species
UACAGAGGGUGCGAGCGUUAAUCGGAAUAACUGGGCGUAAAGGGCGCGUAGGUGGUUGCAAGAGUGUGAUGUGAAAGCCCUGGGCUUAACCUGGGAACUGCAUUGGUGACUGGCGGGCUAGAGUAUGGCAGAGGGGGGUAGAAUUCCACGUGUAGCAGUGAAAUGCGUAGAGAUGUGGAGGAAUACCGAUGGCGAAGGCAGCCCCCUGGGCCAAUACUGACGCUCAUGCACGAAAGCGUGGGGAGCAAACAGG